AUGUUGGUCACUCUGCUCCUUGAGCAACCCUAAUGUAAAGAGUACCCAUCUAUGAGCCGAAUAAUCCAAGCUGGUAUUGUGAGCUGACCGCUAGACUCUAUAAAAGAAAACAAAGAAGGGUAGCACUAGCCUACAGUGGGUCUUUUGUGGUCAAGGCCCUGAACUACUGUGGUUUUCUACUGCACCUGAAACCUUAACCACGGACCAGUGCUACUCCAGUACUCCUCAUUGGGCUUGCUUCCUCUGUGGUCAGACCUUCAUCUCUGCGCCUUGUACAAAUAUGCCUGAUCACUAUUGCCAGGUCAAUGUCCUGUUGGAAGGUGGCCACAUAGUGUCGUUGGGCGACAUUAGUGUCUCUUCGAUUAUGAAAGAAAUCGCCGCGAGGGUUAAGACAAGAGCAAAUUUAGAUGAACUGAAAUUUGUCUUCCUUGGCUAUUCACGAAAUCAAGAGAUCGUCCUCUUGUCAGAAGAGACCUCCCUGGCUGAAGCGAAGGCAGCCAUUAUCAGGGAUACGGUGACCACGUCAGCAGAAAUACAGUACGGUGUGAUUUUCCAUGGACACAUCUCCGAUGAUUCAGAAGCACCCCCCGCAGGAUAGGUCAUUCCGGACCAUCGGGCUGUGAUUCAAACACAUGCAUGUCAAAGAACCAAGUCAAAGGGAAAUUGGUUCCGGACUUACAGAACGUAAUGGGAUUCAAACAACCCCCCGAGUUUGACAGGGCUAUGAAGAAGGCUCGGUCAUUUCCGUCUUACUUUAUCAAACAAGACUUCAAACCACUUGCCCCUUCUGUCUCACAAAUAUAACGACAAUGUACCCUUCAAAUUGCAUGAACUUACAAGCACGAAUCUUUUUAUCUACGAACCCUCAGUAGACAACAUGUGAUUAAUUGUGCUGUGUAACCACAUUGUUUAUAAAAUGAGAUUGGUUAGUAAAACAUCACCAAAUACUUUGAUUAAGAACAAAAACAAGACUUGCUUUUCACUUUUACAUGUUAAUUACAUUCUGUUUUUGAGUUUGA